rnacentral:rRNA from 1 species
GGCCAGACUCCUACGGGAGGCAGCAGUGGGGAAUAUUGCACAAUGGGGGAAACCCUGAUGCAGCGACGCCGCGUGAGUGAAGAAGUAUUUCGGUAUGUAAAGCUCUAUCAGCAGGGAAGAAGUUGACGGUACCUGAGUAAGAAGCCCCGGCUAACUACGUGCCAGCAGCCGCGGUAAUACGUAGGGGGCAAGCGUUAUCCGGAUUUACUGGGUGUAAAGGGAGCGUAGACGGCAGUGCAAGUCUGAAGUGAAAGCCCCGGGCUUAACCCGGGAAUUGCUUUGGAAACUGUACGGCUGGAGUGCUGGAGAGGUAAGCGGAAUUCCUAGUGUAGCGGUGAAAUGCGUAGAUAUUAGGAGGAACACCAGUGGCGAAGGCGGCUUACUGGACAGUAACUGACGUUGAGGCUCGAAAGCGUGGGGAGCAAACAGGAUUAGAUACCCUCGUAG